ACGAACGCUUGCGGCGUGCUUAACACCUGCCAGUCGCACGGAAAGGCCCUGCUUUUGUGGGGUGCUCGAGUGGCGAACGGGUGAGUAACACGUGAGUAACCUGCCCUUGACUUUGGGAUAACUUCAGGAAACUGGGGCUAAUACCGGAUAGGAGCUCCUGCUGCAUGGUGGGGGUUGGAAAGUUUCGGCGGUUGGGGAUGGACUCGCGGCUUAUCAGCUUGUUGGUGGGGUAGUGGCUUACCAAGGCUUUGACGGGUAGCCGGCCUGAGAGGGUGACCGGCCACAUUGGGACUGAGAUACGGCCCAGACUCCUACGGGAGGCAGCAGUGGGGAAUAUUGCACAAUGGGCGGAAGCCUGAUGCAGCAACGCCGCGUGCGGGAUGACGGCCUUCGGGUUGUAAACCGCUUUCGCCUGUGACGAAGCGUGAGUGACGGUAAUGGGUAAAGAAGCACCGGCUAACUACGUG
rnacentral:rRNA from 1 species